rnacentral:rRNA from 1 species
UGGGGAAUAUUGGACAAUGGGGGGAACCCUGAUCCAGCCACGCCGCGUGUGUGAAGAAGGCCUUAUGGUUGUAAAGCACUUUAAGCGAGGAGGAGGGUACUGGUAUUAAUACUACCAGCUACUGGACGUUACUCGCAGAAUAAGCACCGGCUAACUCUGUGCCAGCAGCCGCGGUAAUACAGAGGGUGCGAGCGUUAAUCGGAUUUACUGUGCGUAAAGCGUGCGUAGGCGGCUAAUUGAGUCGGAUGUGAAAUCCCCGAGCUUAACUUGGGAAUUGCAUUCGAUACUGGUUAGCUAGAGUGUGGGAGAGGAUGGUAGAAUUCCAGGUGUAGCGGUGAAAUGCGUCGAGAUCUGGAGGAAUACCGAUGGCGAAGGCAGCCAUCUGGCCUAACACUGACGCUGAGGUACGAAAGCAUGGGGAGCAAACAGG